rnacentral:rRNA from 1 species
AACGAACGCUGGCGGCAGGCCUAACACAUGCAAGUCGAACGGGAUCUUCGGAUCUAGUGGCGGACGGGAGAGUAACGCGUGGGAACGUGCCCUUUGGUUCGGAAUAGCCACGGGAAACUGGGAGUAAUACCGGAUAAGCACUACGGAGGAAAGAUUUGUCGCCAAAUGAUCGGCCCGCGGUGGACUAGGUAGUUCGUGAGGUAAUGGCUCACCAAGCCGACGAUCCAUUGCUGGUUUGAGAGGAUGAACAGACACACUGGGACUGAGACACGGACCAGAAUCCUACGGGAGGCAGCAGUGGGGGAUCUUAGACAAUGGGAGAAACCCUGAUCUAGCCAUGCCGCGUGAUCGAUGAAGGCCUUAGGGUUGUAAAGAUCUUUCAGUGGGGAAGAUAAUGACUGUACCCACAGAAGAAGCCCCGGCUAACUCCGUGCCAGCCGCCGCUGUAAUAC